GGCCUUGAUUCCAGCGACGGCCCGCGUGAGGGACGAAGCCUUUCGGGGGUUGUAACCUCUGUGUGAGGGACGAAUAAGAUCUGGAGGGAAAUGCCAGAUCGAUGACGGUACCUCACGAGAAAGCCCGGGCUAAACUACGUGCCAGCAGCCGCGGUAAUACGUAGGGGGGCGAGCGUUACCCGGAUUCACUGGGCGUAAAGGGGGCGCAGGCGAUCCAGUAUGUCGGGUGUGAAAUCCCACAGCUCAACUGUGGAAUUGCGCCCGAAACUACUGGGUUUGGGGCUGGUAGAGGGAGACGGAACUGCUGGUGUAGGGGUGAAAUCCGUAGAUAUCAGCAGGAACGCCGGUGGGGAAGCCGGUCUCCUGGGCCAAGCCCGACGCUGAGGCCCGAAAGCUAGGGGAGCAAACCGGAUUAGAUACCCGGGUAGUCCUAGCCGUAAACGAUGCCCACUAGGUGUGGGGGAGUCAUUCCUCCGUGCUGUAGCUAACGCGUUAAGUGGGCCGCCUGGGGAGUACGCCCGCAAGGGUGAAACUCAAAGGAAUUGGCGGGACUCCGCACAAGCGGUGGAGCGUGUGGUUUAAUUGGAUGCUAAGCCAAGAACCUUACCAGGGCUUGACAUGCAGGUGGUACCAACCCGAAAGGGAAGGGACCCUUUCCUUUUGGAAAGGGAGCCUGCACAGGUGGUGCACGGCCGUCGUCAGCUCGUGCCGUGAGGUGUUGGGUUAAGUCCCGCAACGAGCGCAACCCCUGCCCUUAGUUGCCAGCGGUUCGGCCGGGCACUCUAAGGGGACCGCCGGCGACGAGCCGGAGGAAGGAGGGGACGACGUCAGGUACUCGUGCCCUUUAUGCCCUGGGCUACACACGCGCUACAAUGGGUGGUACAGUGGGUCGCGACCUCGCGAGAGGGAGCCAAUCCCCAAAACCAUCCUCAGUUCAGAUCGCAGGCUGCAACCCGCCUGCGUGAAGCCGGAAUCGCUAGUAAUCGCGGAUCAGCCAUGCCGCGGUGAAUACGUUCCCGGGGUU
rnacentral:rRNA from 1 species